ACUAUUUUGGCAGAAAAAAUGUAAUGAUUUUAGAAAUCAUAAAUAUAUAACUUGGUUAUAUAUGUAGUA
rnacentral:tRNA from 2 species